GUAGGUGAACCUGCGGAGGGAUCAUUACCGAGUGAGGGCCCUCGUGCCCGACCUCCAACCCUUUGUCGAUCUAUAUCUGUUGCCUCGGGGGGCGACCCGGCCGUUCGCGGAUCGGGCGUCCCCCGGAGGACCAAUCAACUCUGCAUCUCUGCGUCGAGUAUUGAAUACAAAUCAAUCAAAACUUUUAACAACGGAUCUCUUGGUUCUG
rnacentral:misc_RNA from 1 species